GAUGAACGCUGGCGGCGUGCCUAAUACAUGCAAGUAGAACGCUGAAGGAAGGAGCUUGCUCUUUCCGGAUGAGUUGCGAACGGGUGAGUAACGCGUAGGUAACCUGCCUGGUAGCGGGGGAUAACUAUUGGAAACGAUAGCUAAUACCGCAUAACAGUAGAUGUUGCAUGAUAUCUACUUAAAAGGUGCAAUUGCACCACUACCAGAUGGACCUGCGUUGUAUUAGCUAGUUGGUGAGGUAACGGCUCACCAAGGCGACGAUACAUAGCCGACCUGAGAGGGUGGUCGGCCACACUGGGACUGAGACACGGCCCAGACUCCUACGGGAGGCAGCAGUAGGGAAUCUUCGGCAAUGGACGGAAGUCUGACCGGGCAACGCCGCGUGAGUGAAGAAGGUUUUCGGAUCGUAAAGCUCUGUUGUAAGAGAAGAACGAGUGUGAGAGUGGAAAGUUCACACUGUGACGGUAUCUUACCAGAAAGGGACGGCUAACUACGUG
rnacentral:rRNA from 1 species